rnacentral:rRNA from 1 species
AUUGAACGCUGGCGGCAUGCUUUACACAUGCAAGUCGAACGGCAGCGCGGGCUUCGGCCUGGCGGCGAGUGGCGAACGGGUGAGUCAUGCAUCGUAACGUUCCCACUAGUGGGGGAUAGCCCGGCGAAAGCCUGAUUAAUACCUCAUACGACCUGAGGGUGAAAGCGGGGUACCGAAAUGCCUCCCGCUAUUGGUGCGGCCGAUGUCGGUUUAGCUAGUUGUUGGGGUAAAGCCUUACCAAGGCGACGAUCCGUAGCUGGUCUGAGAGGACGACCAGCCACACUGGGACUGAGACACGGCCCAGACUACUACGGGAGGCAGCAGUGGGGAAUGUUGGACAAUGGGGGCAACCCUGAUCCAGCCAUGCCGCGUGCGGGAAGAAGGCCUUCGGGUAGUAAACCGCUUUUGUUCGGGAAGAAAUCCUAUGGGCUAAUACCCCGGGGGGAUGACGGUACCGGAAGAAUAAGCACCGGCUAACUACGUG